UACGUAGGCAGCGAGCGUUGUUCGGAGUUACUGGGCGUAAAGGGUGUGUAGGCGGUUGUUUAAGUUUGGUGUGAAAUCUCCCGGCUCAACUGGGAGGGUGCGCCGAAUACUGAAUGACUUCGAGUGCGGGAGAGGAAAGUGGAAUUCCUGGUGUAGCGGUAAAAUGCGUAGAUAUCAGGAGGAACACCGGUGGUGUAGACGGCUUUCUGGACCGUAACUGACGCUGAGACACGAAAGCGUGGGUAGCAAACAGG
rnacentral:rRNA from 1 species